GCUAGCAGCCAUAUCACCCUGCAACUCACAACUGGCAGCCCACUGAAGCUAAGCAGGUGUGAGCCUGGUCUGUACCUGGAUGGGAGACCUCCUGGGAAAAACGGAGCUUGCUGCUGGAA
rnacentral:rRNA from 1 species